rnacentral:snRNA from 1 species
AUUGCUUCUUGGCCUUUUGGCUAAGAUCAAGUGUAGAAUUUGCUUCUUUUCAUGUUGUGUAUCUAUUAAACUUUUACUUAUUAACAUUU